GAAAGCCGUAUUCGAUGAAAGUCGUAUGUACGGCAUGGAGGGAGAUCUUUCCUAUCUUUCGAGAUCCACCCUAC
rnacentral:ncRNA from 1 species